ACGGAAGGCAGCAGUGGGGGAUAUUGCACAAUGGGGGAAACCCUGAUGCAGCGACGCCGCGUGAGCGAAGAAGUAUUUCGGUAUGUAAAGCUCUAUCAGCAGGGAAGAAAAUGACGGUACCUGACUAAGAGGCUCCGGCUAAAUACGUGCCAGCAGCCGCGGUAAUACGUAUGGAGCAAGCGUUAUCCGGAUUUACUGGGUGUAAAGGGAGCGUAGACGGUUUGCCAAGUCUGAUGUGAAAGGUGGGGGCUCAACCCCCAAACUGCAUUGGAAACUGGUAGACUAGAGUGUCGGAGAGGUAAGUGGAAUUCCUAGUGUAGCGGUGAAAUGCGUAGAUAUUAGGAGGAACACCAGUGGCGAAGGCGGCUUACUGGACGAUAACUGACGUUGAGGCUCGAAAGCGUGGGGAGCAAACAGGAUUAGAUACCCUGGUA
rnacentral:rRNA from 1 species